rnacentral:rRNA from 1 species
GUAGGUGGCAAGCGUUGUCCGGAAUUAUUGGGCGUAAAGCGCGCGCAGGCGGUCCUUUAAGUCUGAUGUGAAAGCCCACGGCUCAACCGUGGAGGGUCAUUGGAAACUGGUGGACUUGAGUACAGAAGAGGAAAGCGGAAUUCCAAGUGUAGCGGUGAAAUGCGUAGAGAUUUGGAGGAACACCAGUGGCGAAGGCGGCUUUCUGGUCUGUAACUGACGCUGAGGCGCGAAAGCGUGGGGAGCAAACAGGGAUUAGAUACCCUGGUAGUCCACGCCGUAAACGAUGAGUGCUAAGUGUUAGGGGGUUUCCCGCCCCCUUAGUGCUGCAGCUAACGCAUUAAGCACUCCGCCUGGGGAGUACGCCGCAAGGCUG